UCUCAAGGAAGGGGCCAACCCCUCUCUUUAAUUACCCCCCCCCCCAUAUAUUGUAAUGUAGACUGAUGGUGCUAUAUAAACAUGUUCAGGUUCUUGUCAUAAACAUUAAAUAAUGUAAAGAAUUUAGUUUAUUAACCUGGUCAAAAAUUGUUCAUCAUUUUGAUUUAUUUAGACAACACAGUGGAAAAGCCAAACAAAAGAUAACAAACUUGGCCCUCCAUUUCCUCAUGAUUCUCCAUAUGGUAUUGGAAACUUUAGUGCUUUCAAAUCUACUGCUAGGCUGUUGGAUCACAGAAUUCAGUGAAAGAGUGUAAUCGAUCAAAUUCCUCAUCUCCAGUUGAUAAACUUGGCCAGCCUCGCUUAACCAAAUUGACUC